UCUACCACCUACACUCCAGCCACUUCUACCACCUACACUCCAGCAACUUCUACCACCCGCACUCCAGCCACUCCUACCACCUGCACGUCAGCCACUGUAACUUCUGCCACCACUGAAACAUCCUUGGCAAGCACCUCUCCACCAACAUCUGCUUUUUCCAACAAUGCUGAGAAAUAUGUUCAAGAGGCUUGGAAAGGCAAAUCUGUUCAUGUCCUCCUGUCACGGAUUGGACCUUACAAAAUAUUUUUCUGGGACAUAAACAGGACAAGUCCCAAUAAGGAACUUGAGAGUGAGGUAAUCUUGAAUAAUUGACUUGGCCUUGACUCUUAUUUCCCCAUUUAGCAUCCAAAAGCUAGCAUGCCUCUAGUAAAAUAUAUUUUUUUUCACCUUCCCUAGUUAAUAAAUGCCUACCUCUACAAACUUGUGAAAAGACACAAUGACAAAGGAGGCAAGCAAGCGUUCUUUGUUGACUCAUAUGCCAUGACAGACAUAUGGAGGAAGAAGAAUACUCGACUGAAAUGUGACCCUGCGUUGUAUGACGUAAUCCUGGGAGCAGUUAACGAGCCUGGCCAUUGGAUAUUUACAGCCAUCUUUCCAUUAGAAAGAAGAAG